rnacentral:lncRNA from 1 species
UUUGGGAGGCUGAGGCAGGCAGAUCACCUAAGGCCAGGAAUUCGACACCAGCCUGGCCAACGUGGCAAAACCCGUCUCUACUAAAAAUACAAAAAUUAGCCGGGCGUGGUGGUGUGCGCCUGGAAUCCCAGCUACCCAGGAGGCUGAGGCAGGAGAAAUGCUGGAACCCGGGAGGCAGAGGCUGCAGUGAGCUGAGAUCAUGCCACUACUGCACUCCAGCCUGGGUGACACAGCAAGACUCCCUCUAAAAAAAGAAAAAAAGAAAAGAAAAGAAAAGAAAAUGAUAUAUCCAUGAUGAAUUAAAAUGGAGUGGAACCCACUGAUGGUAUGCAGCUGAUAAGACGCUAUAGAGAAAUGAUAUCCGGACACAUGGUGAGACUUUUUCUCCUCUGUAAAUCUCAAUUCUUGUGAUUCUUUCAAAGGGAAAGCCACAGAAGGUACCAGUUAUCCACUCACUGACUUAGGUGCCUCCACUAGAAUUCUCAGCACGUUUUUGCAGAAGCAAAGGAAAAGUAAACCGCUGGUUUAGAGUCUUUGGAAGGCAAUUGUAUCUGACUAGAAUUUAAUAUUAUUGUUUUUCUUUCAUUGUAUUGCAUUUAUCUGUAUGGCUAGUUAAACUGAUUUUCCAUUUAAAAGUAGUAAUGCAUUUUUUUAUAAUUACAUUGUUUUAAGUAAACAAGAAUUAUUCAAAGGACAAAAACACUAGCACAGAUGGCAUUCAAUGAUUGCAGAUAUCAUAAAGAUAGUUCAUGAAUGACAAAGAUUUGAGAAGUACUGUGUUCACGAUGCUUCCUGGAAGAGGUGGGUUAUACAGUGUUUCUUAGAGAAAGGGAUAGGGGUCUACUGCUAGGAGGGAAAGAUGAAGCUACUUAGGGGGACUAGGAAACACGCAGUUGGCCUGCCCUCUGCUUGGAGAUCACAGCCAAGGAAACACAGGAGAGGCACCCCCUGGAGGAGCUCCGUGGGCUGCAGGGCUGACGUGGCCCAGGCUGGGCAACAAGAGCGAAACCCCAUCUCAAAACCACAACAACAACAACAGGACAACAGAGAUGGACGACGGAUCGGGAAAGCCAACCAGACAGCGUGAGGCCAGGACGGAAAGAGGCACAGGGAGCUCUGCUCAGUGUCGCUACAGGGGAUCUCUCAGGCUCACAACGGGCCACUCCUCUAGGGAAGUUCUGGUCUCAUCAUGAUCCUUGUUUGGUCUCACUCCCCAUGUCCUUCUCUGUCCCUCCUCCAACUGCCAUUUAUUUAUUUAACUGAAAAAGUACCAAUCACCCACAUAGGCAUGACAUACUCAUCCAUGUACCCAUUUCUUAAAAUUGAUCAUUGUUAACAUUUGGUGUAAUUUGCUUUAUUUAUUUUUAAUGAAAUAAAUAAAACUUUACAGAAAAUGCUUUAUUUUUCUCUUUGUUCCCUCCCCAUCCUAUAUUUUUCUCCUAAAAAACCCUAUUAUCAGAAAUAUUAGUGUGUAUUCCCAGUUUCGACUUUUUAUUUUAUUACACACACACUCCCACACAUAGCUGUGACAAUGAACUUCACAUAGUAUGGUUCUGUAUUUUCUCUUUGUUUUUCAAACUUACAUAAGUAUUUUACUAUUUCUCAUGGAAAAACUCACUUUUCCCAUCCAACGUUAUGUUUCCUUAAGAUCUCUCUAUGUUGAUAUAAAGAAAUCUAGCUCAUUCUUUUUAAUGAAAAUAAAGUAUAUUUUAUGAAUGUAACUCAUGCUAACCAUGGCAAUAAAAGCUCCAUCAAGCAUGCAUUUAGUU